rnacentral:rRNA from 1 species
UGCGUAGGCGGCCUAUUAAGUCAGUGGUGAAAGGUAUCAGCUUAACUGAUGACGUGCCAUUGAAACUGAUAGGCUUGAGUACAGACGAGGUAGGCGGAAUUUAUGGUGUAGCGGUGAAAUGCAUAGAUACCAUAAAGAACACCGAUAGCGAAGGCAGCUUACUAGACUGAGACUGACGCUGAGGCACGAAAGCGUGGGGAGCGAACAGGAUUAGAUACCCUGGUAGUCC